rnacentral:rRNA from 1 species
UGUUAUACUCAUUAUAAAAUUAGUAUUACCAGAUUAAUAAAAGAUAUGUGCUCUAAAUUCAAAGAAUUUGGCGGCUUUUUAAUCUUAUUAGGGGAACCUGCCCUUUAAACGAUAGUCCACGAAAGAUCUUACCUGCUUUAGUAGUUUGUAUACCGUCAUUUAGAUAACUUUUAUAAAAUAAGUUAUUGAGAAAGUUUGUGAACUAAGAUGUUAGAUCAAGGUGCAGCAUAUGAGCAGGUUAUGGUGGGUUACAAUAAGAUUCACUUAUAACGGAGAUUUUAUUGAAUAAUAUUCUUGAAGGUGGACUUUAAAGUAAAACUGAAUUAAUAAGGCAGUUUGAUUUUAGCUCUAAAUUGUGUACAAAU